CCGGGUGUAGCGCAGCCGGUAGCGCGCCUGACUGGGGGUCAGGAGGCCGUGGGUUCAAGUCCCGCCACUCGGACCA
rnacentral:tRNA from 1 species